rnacentral:rRNA from 1 species
UACGAAGGGGGCUAGCGUUGCUCGGAAUUACUGGGCGUAAAGGGCUCGUAGGCGGCCAACUAAGUCAGACGUGAAAUCCCUCAGCUUAACUGGGGAACUGCGUUUGAUACGGAUGGGCUAGAGUUCGGGAGAGGAGAGUGGAAUUCCCAGUGUAGAGGUGAAAUUCGUAGAUAUUGGGAAGAACACCGGUGGCGAAGGCGGCUCUCUGGACCGAUACUGACGCUGAGGCGCGAAAGCGUGGGGAGCAAACAGG